GACAGAGGACCCAAGCGUUAGGCGGAAUCACUGGGCUUAAAGCGUGUGUAGGCGGAUCGUUAAGUGUCUUGUGAAAUCCCACGGCUCACCCGUGGAACUGCUGGGCAUACUGGCGAUCUUGGGCCAACUAGGGGCAGCCGGAACAAGCGGUGGAGCGGUGAAAUGCGUAGAUAUCGCUUGGAACGCCGAAGGUGAAAACAGGCUGCUGGGGUUGCGCCGACGCUGAGACACGAAAGCCAGGGGAGCAAACGGG
rnacentral:rRNA from 1 species